rnacentral:lncRNA from 1 species
CUAAUUUCAUGAAGUCAAAGUUCUUAUUAGAAAUAAUAUUACUUGAUCUUUUAAAAAUAAUAAAAGAAUGUACACUGUUAACGUUGUAGUCCUGUUACUGAAAUUUGAAUACAGGUGUGAGGUUGCAGUAACCUAAUAAGACCAAAAUCAUUUGAUUUUUGUUUCUUUUUUUUCCAUGUCUGUCCUGUCUGAACUUCGGUGACUCUUCACAAAAUAGUACGCCCUGGGUUCAUGCAUGAUAAAGUAGACAGCAACACCACCAUACAGUGCAGAGGAGUGGCAAGAGAGUAAACGGAAAAGGAGAUGAAAAUAGACCAAGUGGAGAAAGGCCUGGUCAAAAAAGGAGGAAAAGGAAGAUCACUAUGGAAUAAUAGAGAGUUGAAAAAUGAAGUGACACCCAAUAACAGGACGGGACAAUCAGAGAUGACUUGGUUGUAGUGUGGAAACCAGUAGGGACCUUGGGAAGCUGCCAAACCCUUUCUAGCUCUGGGCUCAGCUGUAAGAACUGCUGAUUCCUACAGGAACACUUGGACAAUCCAAUACCUAAAUGUUAACCAUCAAUUAACCCAGUAAACCUGCAAGAUGGAAACGAAGAUUUGUUCUCACGAGUUUCACGUGAUUAUUUAAAGUAAGGGAAAUUUCAGCUGUUUAUAGUUCUGUCUUAACUUUUUCCUCUCUUCAUUCUUUUCCUCUCAUUUUUUGUAGCACUUCUGGGGCCCAGUAGCCAACUGGGGUCUUCCCAUUGCUGCCAUCAAUGAUAUGAAAAAGUCUCCAGAGAUUAUCAGUGGGCGGAUGACAUUUGGUAAGAAUGCAGAUUUGGAUAAUUGGGAGGACUUUCAACAUAGUAGAGCUCCUGCUUGCAUUUCAAGAUUGUAGCACUAGAUGUUACAGUCACUAUUAGAAAGUCACAUACAGAAUGUGAUGGCAUGGAAGAGUGUUACUUCUCUAUGUCAGUAAGAAACAAGAUUAAUUAGAAAUAUUUAUCUAGGAAGUAGUAACAUCUUAUUUGCCUUUCAGAUUUAGCACACUGAACUGAAGACUGUGUCAUCUGAAUCAUUCUAAUAGUCACUUUAAUGAUUUAUAUUGUGAACUUUUUUGGGGGAAACUGUCAUUAAACUGACUUGAAACCCUGAUAUUUGAACAUAAAACUAUUGUGGAGGGAAUAAAUAACAAUUCUUUCAGAUAAUGAAUGGAUUAUAAGCAACUCCAGGAGACAAAAAAAGUGUCUAGAACAAAUUUCAGCCUACUCUUGCUCGGAAAUAUGUUCCUUAAAUGUUUAAAUAAUUAACAAAAAUGCAUAGCAGUACAGUAAAUUUUUUUAUGAGCUUCCUAUUGAUACAGGCAUUUAAGUAACAACUUUUAUCUGUCAAAGGCUUUCGCAGAAGAGGUUCUUUUUUGAUCAGGGCAAUGGAACUGUUCAUCUCUGUGGUCCUAUCAACCCUCUCAGUUUUCUAAGUUAUUGAUUGUCUUUGCUCUGCUAUUUUUGGCAGCCCUCUGUUGCUAUUCUUUGACAUUCAUGAGAUUUGCCUACAAGGUACAGCCUCGGAACUGGCUUCUGUUUGCAUGCCACGCAACAAAUGAAGUAGCCCAGCUCAUCCAGGGAGGGCGGCUUAUCAAACACGAGAUGACUAAAACGGCAUCUGCAUAACAAUGGAAAAGGAAGAACAAGGUCUUGAAGGGACAGCAUUGCCAGCUGCUGCUGAGUCACAGAUUUCAUUAUAAAUAGCCUCCCUAAGGAAAAUACACUGAAUGCUAUUUUUACUAACCAUUCUAUUUUUAUAGAAAUAGCUGAGAGUUUCUAAACCAACUCUCUGCUGCCUUACAAGUAUUAAAUAUUUUACUUCUUUCCAUAAAGAGUAGCUCAAAAUAUGCAAUUAAUUUAAUAAUUUCUGAUGAUGGUUUUAUCUGCAGUAAUAUGUAUAUCAUCUAUUAGAAUUUACUUAAUGAAAAACUGAAGAGAACAAAAUUUGUAACCACUAGCACUUAAGUACUCCUGAUUCUUAACAUUGUCUUUAAUGACCACAAGACAACCAACAGCUGGCCACGUACUUAAAAUUUUGUCCCCACUGUUUAAAAAUGUUACCUGUGUAUUUCCAUGCAGUGUAUAUAUUGAGAUGCUGUAACUUAAUGGCAAU